rnacentral:tRNA from 1 species
GCGGAUGUAGCUCAAUGGUAGAGCAUCGGCCUUCCAAGCCGAUUACGCGGGUUCGAUCCCCGUCAUCCGCUCCA